rnacentral:lncRNA from 1 species
AAACGUUUAAAUGUAACAUGAAAACAAUGUCCGCUCUAGCUCGUUGACAUUCAAUUGAAAGAACUGGCAAACAAAGGUAACAAAUAACUUUGAUACUCACGUAAUAUUCUCCAUGCAAAUUUCAUAAGAAAGCCACCACGCAGCAUCACACAUCACAAAAGACGAAAUUCCCAAGGUGAUAUUGAACGCCACUUUAACUUCUACACUGAGGAGAAGGCACUCAAGACAGAUAUCCGUUCAUGUUGUCUGCAACUGAUUCUAGACGUUUCAGCACCUGGGCAACAGUGCUGGACUGGACAGUGGAUUGCUGAAAGGGAAAACCAUUUGGUAAGGUUUCGAUGGCCAUUGAUAAUUGAAGAGAAGCAUUGGAAUGCAACAGCUUGUCUGGCUUCGUCUGGACCUAAGUUACACCAAACAGAACACGGGAUCUAAACAAAUUUAGAUUCAGAUUUUUUAGCUUAAAUUUCAGCUGAAGUUUUCGUGUGACCUAGGUGCUUGUGACAAUAGAAAUCAAGGUUAACUUCCCCUGUCAAAUCAUGAUAACAGCAAAAUAAUGCUGCCACUCAAGAGGCUGUGGUGCCUGCCACCACCACAGUUCUAAUUUAGGACAAUGGCGAGAUUCUCACCACCGUUACAAUUGUUUGGAAACUGACAGCACUAACCAACGCUCACAGGUGGGCACUACCCUUGAAUAUCCCUUUUUAGUUGCUAAAACUAGCUAACUAACUAGCUAAAACGGGCCCUCUUGAUUUGAGGUAUGGCUUUCUGUUGCUAAAAUCUUAUUAAAAAUUACUGUCAUCCUAAUAAAAGUUCUUUCUGUCUA